CGAGCAGGCGAGAUGAUCGCGGGCGGCUUCGGCCGCUCGAGGAAAGUCCGAGCACCCCGGAGCAGGAUGCUGGGUAACGCCCAGUGGGAGUGAUCCCAAGGAAAGUGCCACAGAAAGCAAACCGCCCAAGCCCUUCGGGGCCGGCAAGGGUGAAACGGUGAGGUAAGAGCUCACCAGGGCCGCCGGUGACGGCGGCUGCUCGGCAAACCCCAUCCGGUGCAAGACCAAAUAGGAGGGAAGAAGACGCUCCGCUUCGUCACACCCUCGGGUUGGUCGCUAGAGGUGUCCGGUAACGGGCAUCCCAGACAAAUGAUCAUCCUCCCGCGAGGGAGAACAGAACUCGGCUUACGCCCUGCUCGGCCG
rnacentral:RNase_P_RNA from 1 species